rnacentral:rRNA from 1 species
UGGCGAACGGGUGAGUAACGCGUGAGGAACCUGCCUCAAAGAGGGGGACAACAGUUGGAAACGACUGCUAAUACCGCAUAAGCCCACGGGUCGGCAUCGACCUGAGGGAAAAGGAGCAAUCCGCUUUGAGAUGGCCUCGCGUCCGGUUAGCUAGUUGGUGAGGUAACGGCCCACCAAGGCGACGAUCGGUAGCCGGACUGAGAGGUUGAACGGCCACAUUGGGACUGAGACACGGCCCAG